GUGGAUUUGACAGAUAGUGACUCAAACACUAAAAUUGAAGCUGCUCAAGCAUCAAUGGAGGUGCAGGAUCUGGAGAACAAGGUUGCUACGCUGGAAAGGCUGUGGGAGAUAGAGACGUUGCUUAAUAUCCAACUGCGUCAAGCAUUGCUGGAAACAAUGAAAGAGCAGGAUAAGCUCAAAAUCCAAAUUGACUAGAUGGGAGCCUCAAGCAACACUUCGUGUGCAGCUCCGAGAGGUAAGGGAAAAAGAAAGAUAGAAGAUCCUG
rnacentral:lncRNA from 1 species